UCCAGACUCCUACGGGAGGCAGCAGUGAGGAAUAUUGGUCAAUGGGCGAGAGCCUGAACCAGCCAAGUCGCGUGAGGGAAGACGGUCCUAUGGAUUGUAAACCUCUUUUGUCGGGGAGCAAAAAGGCCUCGUGAGGCCACAAGUGAGAGUACCCGAAGAAAAAGCAUCGGCUAACUCCGUGCCAGCAGCCGCGGUAAUACGGAGGAUGCGAGCGUUAUCCGGAUUUAUUGGGUUUAAAGGGUGCGUAGGCGGAAUAUCAAGUCAGCGGUAAAAAUUCGGGGCUCAACCCCGUCGUGCCGUUGAAACUGAUGUUCUUGAGUGGGCGAGAAGUAUGCGGAAUGCGUGGUGUAGUGGUGAAAUGCAUAGAUAUCACGCAGAACUCCGAUUGCGAAGGCAGCAUACCGGCGCCCAACUGACGCUGAAGCACGAAAGCGUGGGUAUCGAACAGGAUUAGAUACCCGGGUAUU
rnacentral:rRNA from 1 species